rnacentral:rRNA from 1 species
AUUGAACGCUGGCGGCAGGCCUAACACAUGCAAGUCGAACGAGUGGCGGACGUGUGUGUAAUGUCUGGGAAACCGCCUGAUGGAGGGGGAUCACUACUGGACACGGUCGCUAAUACCACAUACUCUCAGAUGUCCCCAGAUGGGAUUAGCUAGUUGGUGGGGUAACGGCUCACCAAGGCGACGAUCCCUAGCUGGUCUGAGAGGAUGACCAGCCACACUGGAACUGAGACACGGUCCAGACUCCUACGGGAGGCAGCAGUGGGGAAUAUUGCACAAUGGGCGCAAGCCUGAUGCAGCCAUGCCGCGUGUAUGAAGAAGGCCUUCGGGUUGUAAAGUACUUUCAGCGGGGAGGCGUUACCCGCAGAAGAAGCACCGGCUAACUCCGUGCCAGCAGCCGCGGUAAUAC